UACGUAGGGGGCAAGCGUUGUCCGGAUUUAUUGGGCGUAAAGAGCGUGUAGGCGGCUGGGUAGGUCCGUUGUGAAAACUCGAGGCUCAACCUCGAGACGCCGAUGGAAACCCCCCGGCUAGAGUCCGGAAGAGGAGAGUGGAAUUCCUGGUGUAGCGGUGAAAUGCGCAGAUAUCAGGAAGAAUACCCGUGGCUAAGGCGGCUCUCUAGUACGGUACUGACGCUGAGACGCGAAAGCGUGGGGAGCGAACAGG
rnacentral:rRNA from 1 species